UACGUAGGGGGCAAGCGUUGUUCGGAUUUACUGGGCGUAAAGGGCGCGUAGGCGGCGCGUAAAGUCGGACAUGAACUCAUUGGGCUUAACCCGAUGGCUGUGCCCGAUACUUGCGUGCAUAGAGUGCGGGAGAGGCAAUCGGAAUUCUCGGUGUAGCGGUGAAAUGCGUAGAUAUCGAGAGGAACUCCGGUGACGAAGGUGGGUUGCUGGACCGACACUGACGCUGAGGCGCGAAAGCUAGGGGAGCAAACGUG
rnacentral:rRNA from 1 species